CCUCGAAUCAGGUAGGACUACCCGCUGAACUUAAGCA
rnacentral:rRNA from 1 species